GAUGAACGCUGGCGGCGUGCCUAAUACAUGCAAGUCGAGCGAAGCGGGGACGGGUGAGUAACACGUGGAUAACCUCCUAUAAGACUGGGAUAACUUCGGGAAACCGGAGCUAAACCGGAUACUUAUCGAUGGAUCCGCGCUGCAUUAGCUAGUUGGUAAGGUAACGGCUUACCAAGGCAACGAUGCAUAGCCGACCUGAGAGGUUGAUCGGCCACACUGGAACUGAGACAAGGGCCAGACUCCUACGGGAGGCAGCAGUAGGGAAGCUUACUCAAUGGGCGAAAGCCUGACGGAGCAACGCCGCGUGAGAGAUGAAGGUCUUCGGAUCGUAAAACUCUGGUAUUAGGGAAGGGGUAACCAAUAAGAAAGCCACGGCGAACUCCGUGCAAGCAGCCGCGGUAAUAC
rnacentral:rRNA from 1 species